CUAGAGUUACCGCUCGAUUCAGAGAAAAAUAUAGUACUUUAAUCUAAAUCUCGAUUCAGUUUUAAAGAGGCACGGUGUCAUGGUUAGCAUCAUAGCGUGUGGCACUGUCAUUUUUAGACCAAAAUACCAUGAUAAACUGUGAGGAGGUAAGGAGAAAGACACAACUUCUCUCAAUGUUGACGGCAGAUCCUUGAACUGAAGUACAUAACGAUUAG
rnacentral:lncRNA from 1 species